UACGAAGGGGGGCUAGCGUUGCUCGGAAUCACUGGGCGUAAAGGGUGCGUAGGCGGGUCUUUAAGUCAGGGGUGAAAUCCUGGAGCUCAACUCCAGAACUGCCUUUGAUACUGAAGAUCUUGAGUUCGGGAGAGGUGAGUGGAACUGCGAGUGUAGAGGUGAAAAUUCGUAGAUAUUCGCAAGAACACCAGUGGCGAAGGCGGCUCACUGGCCCGAUACUGACGCUGAGGCACGAAAAGCGUGGGG
rnacentral:rRNA from 1 species